rnacentral:tRNA from 1 species
UGCUGGAGUUAGUUUAAUUAAGAUAAAACUGAGCCGUAUAGGUUCAAGUUAUGGUGGAAUACCAUACCCCAGCAG